rnacentral:rRNA from 1 species
UGGGGAAUAUUGCACAAUGGGCGCAAGCCUGAUGCAGCCAUGCCGCGUGUAUGAAGAAGGCCUUCGGGUUGUAAAGUACUUUCAGCGGGGAGGAAGGGAGUAAAGUUAAUACCUUUGCUCAUUGACGUUACCCGCAGAAGAAGCACCGGCUAACUCCGUGCCAGCAGCCGCGGUAAUACGGAGGGUGCAAGCGUUAAUCGGAAUUACUGGGCGUAAAGCGCACGCAGGCGGUUUGUUAAGUCAGAUGUGAAAUCCCCGGGCUCAACCUGGGAACUGCAUCUGAUACUGGCAAGCUUGAGUCUCGUAGAGGGGGGGAGAAUUCCAGGUGUAGCGGUGAACUGCGUAGAGAUCUGGAGGAAUACCGGUGGCGAAGGCGGCCCCCUGGACGAAGACUGACGCUCAGGUGCGAAAGCGUGGGGAGCAAACAGG